rnacentral:rRNA from 1 species
AACGAACGCUGGCGGCGUGGAUAAGACAUGCAAGUCGAACGAGACUUUUCGUUGUAGCAAUACGAUGGAAAGUUUAGUGGCGAACGGGUGCUUAACACGUGGGCAACCUGCCAGGAAGUGGGGGAUAGCUCGCCGAAAGGCGAAUUAAUACCGCAUGUGAUUAGAAAGGACAUCCUUUCGAAAUUAAAGUCGGGGCAACCUGACGCUUCUUGUGGGGCCCGCGGCCUAUCAGCUAGUUGGUGAGGUAAUGGCUCACCAAGGCUUUGACGGGUAGCUGGUCUGAGAGGACGACCAGCCACACUGGGACUGAGACACGGCCCAGACACCUACGGGUGGCAGCAGUCGAGAAUUUUUGACAAUGGGGGAAACCCUGAUCGAGCGACGCCGCGUGGAGGAUGAAGGUCUUCGGAUUGUAAACUCCUGUCAUUGGGGAACAAGGUGCAUACGUUAACUGCGUGUGCAUUGAUAGUACCCGAAGAGGAAGAGACGGCUAACUCUGUGCCAGCCGCCGCCGUAAAAC